CACCGCGGUUAUACGAGAGGCCCAAGUUGAUAGACAACGGCGUAAAGCGUGGUUAAAAGAGAAUCUAUGACUAAAGCCGAAGCCUAUCAAUACCGUUUAUACGUCAAAUUGACAGUAAGAAGCCCAUUAACGAAAGUAGCUUUAAACACUUGAAUCCACGAAAGCUAAGAGA
rnacentral:rRNA from 1 species